rnacentral:rRNA from 1 species
AACGAACGCUGGCGGCAUGCCUAACACAUGCAAGUCGAACGAGACCUUCGGGUCUAGUGGCGCACGGGUGCGUAACGCGUGGGAACCUGCCCUUAGGUUCGGAAUAACUCCCCGAAAGGGGUGCUAAUACCGGAUAAUGUCUUCGGACCAAAGAUUUAUCGCCUUUGGAUGGGCCCGCGUUGGAUUAGCUAGUUGGUAGGGUAAAAGCCUACCAAGGCGACGAUCCAUAGCUGGUCUGAGAGGAUGAUCAGCCACACUGGGACUGGGACACGGCCCCGACUCCUACGGGAGGCAGCAGUGGGGAAUAUUGGACAAUGGGCGAAAGCCUGAUCCAGCAAUGCCGCGUGAGUGAUGAAGGCCUUAGGGUUGUAAAGCUCUUUUACCCGGGAUGAUAAUGACAGUACCGGGAGAAUAAGCUCCGGCUAACUCCGUG